GUCCACGCUGUAAACGUUGGGCGCUAGGUGUGGGGAACCUCUCCGGUUUUCUGCGCCGCAGCUAACGCAUUAAGCGCCCCGCCUGGGGAGUACGGCCGCAAGGCUAAAACUCAAAGGAAUUGACGGGGGCCCGCACAAGCGGCGGAGCAUGCGGAUUAAUUCGAUGCAACGCGAAGAACCUUACCUGGGUUUGACAUCGCCGGAAAACUCGUAGAGAUACGGGGUCCUUCGGGGCCGGUGACAGGUGGUGCAUGGCUGUCGU
rnacentral:rRNA from 1 species